rnacentral:tRNA from 1 species
GCCCGGAUGGCGAAAUUGGCAGACGCGCUAGCUUCAGGAGCUAGUGACCGUAAGGUCAUGGGGGUUCAAGUCCCCCUCCGGGCA